UGGCCUUCGCUUUCAAUCGCCUUCUUUGUUCUAAGAAUUCUUUUUUGUUUGAAAUUUGACUAUAAAUAGAGAAGUUUCGGAGCGAAGAAUUAUCUUCUUGUCUUCAUCAGCAAGAAAGUCUUCAACAUGAAAUACUUGUUUGCCGUUUUGCUUUUGGUUGCUCUGACAGCCUGUGCUUUUGCACAAUAUUUCCCCUACUACGGUGGUUACUAUGGAGCUGCCCAUACCUACAACUAUGCCUACCCAUCAGCCUACAACUAUGCCUACAACCCUGCUCUUUCCUAUUUGUGGAAGAAGUAAAACCCUUCCGAAAGGACUUUGACUCUGGAAGUUGUUUUCCAGAUCUCUGACACUGGAAAAUCUUUUCUAGGUCUUUGGAACCAGCAAACGCAUCUGAAAUGAUUCAAAUCUUAUUUGAUGAUGACAUUGUUGGAUUUCAUUAAGUUGUAUUUUUCUAAAAUGUUGCUGACCAAAUUUUUACUGUAAAUUUCUUAGAACAAUAAACUUAAAAAACUUUCUUUUAA